GCAUACCGUAGAUCUUCAGGUGCUGGAUAGACUUAUUCAGCUUAAAAGGGAAGUCCGGUGAAACUCCGGCACGGUCCCGCCACUGUAAAAUGGGAGCAAAUCUGCUUGCGAGUCACUGUCUAUUGGAUAAAUAGACGGGAAGACGCAGGUUUGUGAUGAACAUGAGUCAGGAGACCUGCCUGUCGAUUGUACACUUA
rnacentral:ncRNA from 1 species